rnacentral:rRNA from 1 species
UAGGGAAUCUUCCACAAUGGACGCAAGUCUGAUGGAGCAACGCCGCGUGAGUGAAGAAGGUUUUCGGAUCGUAAAGCUCUGUUGUUGGUGAAGAAGGAUAGAGGCAGUAACUGGUCUUUGUUUGACGGUAAUCAACCAGAAAGUCACGGCUAACUACGUGCCAGCAGCCGCGGUAAUACGUAGGUGGCAAGCGUUGUCCGGAUUUAUUGGGCGUAAAGCGAGCGCAGGCGGAAUGAUAAGUCUGAUGUGAAAGCCCACGGCUCAACCGUGGAACUGCUUCGGAAACUGUCAUUCUUGAGUGCAGAAGAGGAGAGUGGAAUUCCAUGUGUAGCGGUGGAAUGCGUAGAUAUAUGGAAGAACACCAGUGGCGAAGGCGGCUCUCUGGUCUGCAACUGACGCUGAGGCUCGAAAGCAUGGGUAGCGAACAGG